CCUUCGAUAGCUCAGUUGGUAGAGCGGUGGACUGUAGAUGAGCGUAAUGCAAGAUAGUAAUCCAUAGGUCGCUGGUUCAAAUCCGGCUCGAAGGA
rnacentral:tRNA from 1 species